GGAGGGAUCAUUACCGAGUUUACAACUCCCAAACCCCUGUGAACAUACCUUAUGUUGCCUCGGCGGAUCAGCCCGCGCCCCGUAAAAAGGGACGGCCCGCCGCAGGAACCCUAAACUCUGUUUUUAGUGGAACUUCUGAGUAUAAAAAACAAAUAAAUCAAAACUUUCAACAACGGAUCUCUUGGUUCUGGCAUCGAUGAAGAACGCAGCAAAAUGCGAUAAGUAAUGUGAAUUGCAGAAUUCAGUGAAUCAUCGAAUCUUUGAACGCACAUUGCGCCCGCCAGUAUUCUGGCGGGCAUGCCUGUUCGAGCGUCAUUUCAACCCUCAAGCCCAGCUUGGUGUUGGGAGCUGCAGUCCUGCUGCACUCCCCAAAUACAUUGGCGGUCACGUCGAGCUUCCAUAGCGUAGUAAUUUACACAUCGUUACUGGUAAUCGUCGCGGCCACGCCGUUAAACCCCAACUUCUGAAUGUUGACCUCGGAUCAGGUAGGAAUACCCGCUGAACUUAAGCAUA
rnacentral:rRNA from 1 species